GACGAACGCUGGCGGCGUGCCUAAUACAUGCCAGUCGAGCGGACGGAUGGGAGCUUGCUCCCAGACCGUCAGCGGCGGACGGGUGAGUAACACGUGGGCAACCUGCCUGUAAGACUGGGAUAACUCCGGGAAACCGGGGCUAAUACCGGAUAACUCUUUCCCUCACAUGAGGGAAAGCUGAAAGAUGGCAUCUCGCUAUCACUUACAGAUGGGCCCGCGGCGCAUUAGCUAGUUGGUGAGGUAACGGCUCACCAAGGCGACGAUGCGUAGCCGACCUGAGAGGGUGAUCGGCCACACUGGGACUGAGACACGGCCCAGACUCCUACGGGAGGCAGCAGUAGGGAAUCUUCCGCAAUGGACGAAAGUCUGACGGAGCAACGCCGCGUGAGUGAUGAAGGUUUUCGGAUCGUAAAACUCUGUUGUCAGGGAAGAACAAGUACCGGAGUAACUGCCGGUACCUUGACGGUACCUGAACAGAAAGCCACGGCUAACUACGUG
rnacentral:rRNA from 1 species